GGAUCCAGACUUUGAUCCUGGCUCAGGAUGAACGCUAGCUACAGGCUUAACACAUGCAAGUCGAGGGGCAGCGGGAUUGAAGCUUGCUUCAAUUGCCGGCGACCGGCGCACGGGUGAGUAACGCGUAUCCAACCUUCCGUACACUCAGGGAUAGCCUUUCGAAAGAAAGAUUAAUACCUGAUGGUAUGAUGAGAUUGCAUGAUAGCAUCAUUAAAGAUUUAUCGGUGUACGAUGGGGAUGCGUUCCAUUAGGUAGUAGGCGGGGUAACGGCCCACCUAGCCAACGAUGGAUAGGGGUUCUGAGAGGAAGGUCCCCCACAUUGGAACUGAGACACGGUCCAAACUCCUACGGGAGGCAGCAGUGAGGAAUAUUGGUCAAUGGACGAGAGUCUGAACCAGCCAAGUAGCGUGAAGGAUGAAGGUCCUACGGAUUGUAAACUUCUUUUAUAAGGGAAUAAACCCUCCCACGUGUGGGAGCUUGUAUGUACCUUAUGAAUAAGCAUCGGCUAACUCCGUGCCAGCAGCCGCGGUAAUACGGAGGAUGCGAGCGUUAUCCGGAUUUAUUGGGUUUAAAGGGAGCGCAGACGGGUCGUUAAGUCAGCUGUGAAAGUUUGGGGCUCAACCUUAAAAUUGCAGUUGAUACUGGCGUCCUUGAGUGCGGUUGAGGUGUGCGGAAUUCGUGGUGUAGCGGUGAAAUGCUUAGAUAUCACGAAGAACUCCGAUUGCGAAGGCAGCACACUAAUCCGUAACUGACGUUCAUGCUCGAAAGUGUGGGUAUCAAACAGGAUUAGAUACCCUGGUAGUCCACACGGUAAACGAUGGAUACUCGCUGUUGGCGAUAUACUGUCAGCGGCUUAGCGAAAGCGUUAAGUAUCCCACCUGGGGAGUACGCCGGCAACGGUGCAACUCAAAGGAUUGACGG
rnacentral:rRNA from 1 species